rnacentral:rRNA from 1 species
UGGGGAAUCUUGCACAAUGGGCGAAAGCCUGAUGCAGCGACGCCGCGUGCGGGAUGAAGGCCUUCGGGUUGUAAACCGCUUUCAGCAGGGACGAGGCCGCAAGGUGACGGUACCUGCAGAAGAAGCCCCGGCUAAUUACGUGCCAGCAGCCGCGGUAAUACGUAAGGGGCGAGCGUUGUCCGGAAUUAUUGGGCGUAAAGAGUGCGUAGGCGGCAAAUUAAGUCAGAUGUGAAAACUAAGGGCUCAACCCAUAGAUUGCAUCUGAAACUGAUAUGCUUGAGUCAAGGAGAGGAAAGUGGAAUUCCUAGUGUAGCGGUGGAAUGCGUAGAUAUUAGGAGGAAUACCGGUGGCGAAGGCGACUUUCUGGACUUGAACUGACGCUGAGGCACGAAAGCGUGGGGAGCAAACAGG